rnacentral:snoRNA from 1 species
AACCGGGUUGAUAACUAGGCAAUGGUCUCAUUGUCCCCACGACCAACGCCCUUUAAGUGCUCGGAAGAUCGAAAAAUUUAGCGAAGGAUCUUACACGUCUUCGGAGGGGCAUAAACGCCCCAGGCUGACGAUGGAUGUUUAAUCACUCGCGACAUCU